UGGGGAAUAUUGCACAAUGGAGGAAACUCUGAUGCAGCGAUGCCGCGUGAGGGAAGAAGGUUUUCGGAUUGUAAACCUCUGUCUUCAGGGACGAAAAUGACGGUACCUGACUAAGAAGCCCCGGCUAACUACGUGCCAGCAGCCGCGGUAAUACGUAGGGGGCAAGCGUUAUCCGGAUUUACUGGGUGUAAAGGGAGCGCAGGCGGCGAAGCAAGCCAGAGGUGAAAACCCGGGGCUCAACCCCGAGGAUUGCCUUUGGAACUGUUUUGCUUGAGUGCUGGAGGGGCAGGCGGAAUUCCUGGUGUAGCGGUGAAAUGCGUAGAUAUCAGGAGGAACACCGGUGGCGAAGGCGGCCUGCUGGACAGUAACUGGCGCUGAGGCUCGAAAGCGUGGGGAGCAAACAGGAUUAGAUACCCUGGUAGU
rnacentral:rRNA from 1 species